rnacentral:lncRNA from 1 species
CAGGAAAUGGUUUCUUUCUCAAAGAUCGAUGCUUGCAAGAGGCAGGAGAGUUUGCUUCACUGAAGCCAGCAUCUGAUUUUAAAAAGCAAGUUAAGGAUCCUUUCUCACUCUAUCAUUAAGGAUCCAGAGAGUUUUUAAUACCCAGCUAUGUCCUUGAAGGAUACGGGAGCUCAGGAAUUCCAGUAAGGUCUUAGAGAAUCUUAUCCUCGACUGAGGACUGCAGGAAACCAGCCGGAGGACGGAGGACGUCUAACUUGAGCUGGGAAUGCUAUUCUGGAAAGGGAGGAGGGAGCUAGAGCUUUCCCUCCUAGCUAAGAGACAUUCCAAACUUAACAUACUCAAAG